rnacentral:lncRNA from 1 species
UCCCCAUCAGUCUUGUUCCUCUAAAUCUUUGUUCCGUCCUGUAUACUGGUAGGUAUAUAAUACACAGAAUUUUCUCACAAGUUCAGUAGAAUUGUAACCGGUGCCUAAUAAUCUUACAGAACGUUGUUUUGUUUUUCCCAGAUGUUAUAAGUGAAUUUAUACUAGAAGAAAAUCCAAAAUCCAAAGCAGAUAGAAUACAUCUCAUCUUAAAUUCGAAAGUUUUACAACCCAAACUACAAUCUGCAGC